rnacentral:misc_RNA from 1 species
UCCGGCUUAUCACCGGCAGUCCCUCUAGAGUGCCCAACUCAAUGCUGGCAACUAAAGGCGAGGGUUGCGCUCGUUGCGGGACUUAACCCAACAUCUCACGACACGAGCUGACGACAGCCAUGCACCACCUGUGAACCUGCCCCGAAGGGAAGGUGUGUUUCCACACCGGUCAGGUACAUGUCAAACCCAGGUAAGGUUCUUCGCGUUGCGUCGAAUUAAACCACAUGCUCCGCUGCUUGUGCGGGCCCCCGUCAAUUCAUUUGAGUUUUAAUCUUGCGACCGUACUCCCCAGGCGGUCUACUUAGUGCGUUAGCUGCGCCACUAAGAGCUCAAGGCUCCCAACGGCUGGUAGACAUCGUUUACGGCGUGGACUAC